rnacentral:tRNA from 1 species
UUGGUAGAGCACUACGUUCGGGGCGUAGGGGCCGCAAGUUCAAAUCUUGUUUUCCCGACUCUCAAAGACUUGUU